rfam:Phytophthora ramorum strain Pr102 Scaffold39 genomic scaffold, whole genome shotgun sequence.
UCAAUCAGCGAGGGGUGCCGACUGCCAGCCAUGGACCAGUUCCAUGCGUUGACCGGCUGAGAAUCCAAACCCUUAGAACCUGAUCCGGGUCAUGCCGGCGGAGGGACUGCUGCGACUUCUUGUU